rnacentral:lncRNA from 1 species
GCAUGUAAGACCAAUGAUCUUAUAUGCAAUUAGCAAUACUUUCAUUACACUCUUAACUGUACUAAUUUUCAAAUGGCAUUUAUCUUCAGUCCAAUAUUGACAGACUAAGUAAAGCUGACGAGACUUCGGAAGGAAAAACGAAAAAUAUGGCGCUGGUAUGGGGCCAAUGCGACCGAAAAUGUUGCUGUAUUGGAAAUGUAACGUAAAUGAUAAAAAUGUCACACAAAAAAGUGGCUAUGACAAUG